GCCAGGCACAGUGGAGCGUGCCUGUAAUCCUAACUACUUGAGAGGCUGAGACAGGAGGAUCAUAAAUUUGAAGUUAGUCUGAGCAAUUCAGGCAAGAUCCUCUCUCAA
rnacentral:sRNA from 1 species